rnacentral:rRNA from 1 species
UGGUUUGUCGCGUUGUUCGUGAAAUCUCACGGCUUAACUGUGAGCGUGCGGGCGAUACGGGCAGACUUGAGUACUGCAGGGGAGACUGGAAUUCCUGGUGUAGCGGUGGAAUGCGCAGAUAUCAGGAGGAACACCGGUGGCGAAGGCGGGUCUCUGGGCAGUAACUGACGCUGAGGAGCGAAAGCGUGGGGAGCGAACAGGAUUAGAUACCCUGGUAGUCCACGCCGUAAACGGUGGGUACUAGGUGUGGGUUUCCUUCCUUGGGAUCCGUGCCGUAGCUAACGCAUUAAGUACCCCGCCUGGGGAGUACGGCCGCAAGGCUAAAACUCAAAGAAAUUGACGGGGGCCCGCACAAGCGGCGGAGCAUGUGGAUUAAUUCGAUGCAACGCGAAGAACCUUACCUGGGUUUGACAUGCACAGGACGCCGGCAGAGAUGUCGGUUCCCUUGUGGCCUGUGUGCAGGUGGUGCAUGGCUGUCGUCAGCUCGUGUCGUGAGAUGUUGGGUUAAGUCCCGCAACGAGCGCAACCCUUGUCUCAUGUUGCCAGCGGGUAAUGCCGGGGACUCGUGAGAGACUGCCGGGGUCAACUCGGAGGAAGGUGGGGAUGACGUCAAGUCAUCACGCCCCUUAUGUCCAGGGCUUCACACAUGCUACAAUGGCCGGUACAAAGGGCUGCGAUGCCGCGAGGUUAAGCGAACCUUUUAAAGCCGGUCUCAGUUCGGAUCGGGGUCUGCUACUCGACCCCGUGAAGU